rnacentral:rRNA from 1 species
GAUGAACGCUGGCGGCGUGCCUAAUACAUGCAAGUCGAGCGAAUGGAUUAAGAGCUUGUUCUUAUGAAGUUAGCGGCGGACGGGUGAGUAACACGUGGGUAACCUGCCCAUAAGACUGGGAUAACUCCGGGAAACCGGGGCUAAUACCGGAUAACAUUUUGAACCGCAUGGUUCGAAAUUGAAAGGCGGCUUCGGCUGUCACUUAUGGAUGGACCCGCGUCGCAUUAGCUAGUUGGUGAGGUAACGGCUCACCAAGGCAACGAUGCGUAGCCGACCUGAGAGGGUGAUCGGCCACACUGGGACUGAGACACGGCCCAGACUCCUACGGGGGGCAGCAGUAGGGAAUCUUCCACAAUGGGCGAAAGUCUGACGGAGCAACGCCGCGUGAGUGAUGAAGGCUUUCGGGUCGUAAAACUCUGUUGUUAGGGAAGAGCAAGUGCUAGUUGAAUAAGCUGGCACCUUGACGGUACCUAACCAGAAAGCCACGGCUAACUACGUGCCAGCCGCCGCAGUAA